rnacentral:rRNA from 1 species
CCUACGGGAGGCAGCAGUGGGGAAUAUUGCACAAUGGGGGAAACCCUGAUGCAGCGACGCCGCGUGAGUGAGGAAGUAUUUCGGUAUGUAAAGCUCUAUCAGCAGGGAAGAAAAUGACGGUACCUGACUAAGCAGCCCCGGCUAACUCCGUGCCAGCAGCCGCGGUCAUACGUAGGGGGCAAGCGUUAUCCGGAUUUACUGGGUGUAAAGGGAGCGUCGACGGUUAAUCAAGUCUGAAGUGAAAACCCAGGGCCCAACCCUGGGACUGCUUUUGAAACUGAUGAGCUAGAGUGCAGGAGAGGUAAGCGGAAUUCCUAGUGUAGCGGUGAAAUGCGUAGAUAUUAGGAGGAACACCAGUGGCGAAGGCGGCUUACUGGACUGUAACUGACGUUGAGGCUCGAAAGCGUGGGGAGCAAACAGGAUUAGAUACCCCGGUAGUC